rnacentral:rRNA from 1 species
AAAUUGAAGAGUUUGAUCAUGGCUCAGAUUGAACGCUGGCGGCAGGCCUAACACAUGCAAGUCGAACGGUAACAGGAAACAGCUUGCUGUUUCGCUGACGAGUGGCGGACGGGUGAGUAAUGUCUGGGAAACUGCCUGAUGGAGGGGGAUAACUACUGGAAACGGUAGCUAAUACCGCAUAACGUCGCAAGACCAAAGAGGGGGACCUUCGGGCCUCUUGCCAUCGGAUGUGCCCAGAUGGGAUUAGCUUGUUGGUGGGGUAACGGCUCACCAAGGCGACGAUCCCUAGCUGGUCUGAGAGGAUGACCAGCCACACUGGAACUGAGACACGGUCCAGACUCCUACGGGAGGCAGCAGUGGGGAAUAUUGCACAAUGGGCGCAAGCCUGAUGCAGCCAUGUCGCGUGUAUGAAGAAGGCCUUCGGGUUGUAAAGUACUUUCAGCGGGGAGGAAGGGAGUAAAGUUAAUACCUUUGCUCAUUGACGUUACCCGCAGAAGAAGCACCGGCUAACUCCGUGCCAGCAGCCGCGGUAAUACGGAGGGUGCAAGCGUUAAUCGGAAUUACUGGGCGUAAAGCGCACGCAGGCGGUUUGUUAAGUCAGAUGUGAAAUCCCCGGGCUCAACCUGGGAACUGCAUCUGAUACUGGCAAGCUUGAGUCUCGUAGAGGGGGGUAGAAUUCCAGGUGUAGCGGUGAAAUGCGUAGAGAUCUGGAGGAAUACCGGUGGCGAAGGCGGCCCCCUGGACGAAGACUGACGCUCAGGUGCGAAAGCGUGGGGAGCAAACAGGAUUAGAUACCCUGGUAGUCCACGCCGUAAACGAUGUCGACUUGGAGGUUGUGCCCUUGAGGCGUGGCUUCCGGAGCUAACGCGUUAAGUCGACCGCCUGGGGAGUACGGCCGCAAGGUUAAAACUCAAAUGAAUUGACGGGGGCCCGCACAAGCGGUGGAGCAUGUGGUUUAAUUCGAUGCAACGCGAAGAACCUUACCUGGUCUUGACAUCCACGGAAGUUUUCAGAGAUGAGAAUGUGCCUUCGGGAACCGUGAGACAGGUGCUGCAUGGCUGUCGUCAGCUCGUGUUGUGAAAUGUUGGGUUAAGUCCCGCAACGAGCGCAACCCUUAUCCUUUGUUGCCAGCGGUCCGGCCGGGAACUCAAAGGAGACUGCCAGUGAUAAACUGGAGGAAGGUGGGGAUGACGUCAAGUCAUCAUGGCCCUUACGACCAGGGCUACACACGUGCUACAAUGGCGCAUACAAAGAGAAGCGACCUCGCGAGAGCAAGCGGACCUCAUAAAGUGCGUCGUAGUCCGGAUUGGAGUCUGCAACUCGACUCCAUGAAGUCGGAAUCGCUAGUAAUCGUGGAUCAGAAUGCCACGGUGAAUACGUUCCCGGGCCUUGUACACACCGCCCGUCACACCAUGGGAGUGGGUUGCAAAAGAAGUAGGUAGCUUAACCUUCGGGAGGGCGCUUACCACUUUGUGAUUCAUGACUGGGGUGAAGUCGUAACAAGGUAACCGUAGGGGAACCUGCGGUUGGAUCACCUCCUUA